rnacentral:lncRNA from 1 species
AAUUCCCAUUCCAUACUCAAACCAAACAAAGUUAGAAAAUAAACUUGCUCUUUAAUGGGGGAUGGGAGAGCAGGCUGUCCCGGCGAGAAUGGGGUUAGGUGUCAGAAGCGCAUCCCCCUGCGGGCCAAGUCAGCUCGGGCCUCCUGGAUCUGGCUCUGCAGCUCGCGGGCGGCGUCCUCACAGUCGUGAAAAGUGGCCACACGAUAGCCCACAGUGCCCAGGGCGUAGCAGCCGGCGGACACCAGCAAGUAGGCGGGCAGUGGCCAAAGGACCUCCUGGCAUGACGAGGGCAGCUCCAGGCCCAGGGCUCCCAUGGUCAAGGCUGCCCAGGCGGAGCCCAGGAGCGCCAGUGCCCAAAGCCACUGUGCUAAUUUCGUCAUGGUCACUGCGGGAAGAGAAAGCAGAGCUCGAGGUUCCUUCCACCCAGCUACCCCCGCUUCAUUGGAGACCCAUUCCCUGUCCUCCUCCCUCCCCACCCCCCAUGUCACCUAGCCUCAGCGUCAUUCUGCCAUCGCACUCGCCAUUCCCGCGCCCUCUCCGCCCUCUCCCUUCUGCCCUCAACCUACAUUUACCUGUUUGCCGCGCGUCUCUCCUUCCCUGCGCGGCGCCAACGUCAGGGUCCGGAAGUCCCCUACGGCUCGUGCUCCGCCUCCGCAGGGCCUGCUGGGAGUCGUAGUCCUCUUGGCGGCGCCUAGAGGACUCGCGGACGCUGUCUUUACCUAGGCUGUCUUCGGUGGGCUCUGCUUCGCAAACCGCGGCGUGGGUCCUUAGGGGCUUCGGUGCUGCUUUUCUCCCUCAAGACCUCGUUCCAAGCUGGCGUGGGGCGUGUAGAAAGCCUGAGCACACCCUUAAACCUUGCAACAAGGGGCUGGCCCCGUGACCGAGUGGUUAAGUUCGUGCGCUCCGCUGCAGGUGGCCCAGUGUUUCGUUGGUUCGAAUCCUGGGCACGGACAUGGCACUGCUCAUCACACCACGCUGAGGCAGCGUCCCACAUGCCACAACUAGAAGGACCCACAAUGAAGAAUAUACAACUAUGUAGUGGGGGGCUUUGGGGAGAAAAAGGAAAAAAAUAAAAUCU